AAUCCAUUGUGUGUACAGUCCCUGAUCAACCUCUUAAACCUCGCCCAGGCAUCGCUGAACGAUUCAUCCAUAUCUUGUUCAAAAUUAGUUAUGAGUUUCCUUCGUCU